GAUGAACGCUGGCGGCGUGCUUAACACAUGCAAGUCGAACGAUGAACCUCACUUGUGGGGGGAUUAGUGGCGAACGGGUGAGUAACACGUGAGUAACCUGCCCUUGACUCUGGGAUAAGCCUGGGAAACCGGGUCUAAUACUGGAUACGACCUUCUGGCGCAUGCCAUGUUGGUGGAAAGCUUUUGUGGUUUUGGAUGGACUCGCGGCCUAUCAGCUUGUUGGUGGGGUAAUGGCCUACCAAGGCGACGACGGGUAGCCGGCCUGAGAGGGUGACCGGCCACACUGGGACUGAGACACGGCCCAGACUCCUACGGGAGGCAGCAGUGGGGAAUAUUGCACAAUGGGCGCAAGCCUGAUGCAGCGACGCCGCGUGAGGGAUGAAGGCCUUCGGGUUGUAAACCUCUUUCAGUAGGGAAGAAGCCGGCUUUUGGGUUGGUGACGGUACCUGCAGAAGAAGCGUCGGCUAACUACGUG
rnacentral:rRNA from 1 species